GUCCAGGCUGUGAUUGCCAAUGCUGCUGUUAGAAAGAGAAAUGGCAGCCCAGGCUGUGCCAACAAAAAAGCAAAUGAACCUGAGGAGCCCAGACAAGGUAGCUGAGACAAGAUGCUGACAUGCAGCUUGGACCCAGGGAAAAUUAUCUUCCUAACUUCUACCGUGGAAUUUGUCCAGUUUCCCCAGGGAUGGAGCUACGGCUGGACCACUGCAGGGAUUGUCCUUCUCAGAAAGCACCAAAACAGCCUCAGUGUGCUCUGAAGAGCCUCUCAGUAUAGCUGGAUCAACCCGAGUUGUUCCUACAUCUGAACCUCCGUCCUUGCUUGGCCCACCCAUCUCACGAUGCUCAACUCUAACAGCAUGCUGCAACCCCAAAAGCACCAGAAGAGACAGACU